CUUGCUUGAUCUUAAUGUACUCUUUUUCCCUACGAUUAGGAGCAUUUUUCCCACUUGGUUUUUGCUACCUAACUAGGUUUUAACGAGGCACCCACCUUGGGCUGAUCAUAUCCCUGAUGACGUCCUGUAGACGUUUCUUUUGACUUUGCAUUUCUCACGCAUUUUUCCUUAGACUAUGAAUUUUGUCCCUACUUGGGUUUUUGCCAUAGCCUUAGGGUUUUUUAGUGAGACUUACUACUUAUGCAAGUUCCUACCUUAUUGAGAAUAAGCGUUGUUCCUUGGAAUCAUUGCCGACGAGUCGACUUCCUCAACUUCUGCAUGAUGCUGAAUCUACCUUGAGUAUUUACCCACUCAAGGGGGAGUGUUGUAAACAUUCCUAGUUUAAGUAUGAUUGUGUAAAUCCUAGAUAAGAUUUGAUUCUAGUUAUCCUUUCCUAUUGCAACUUGUAUUACUUGGAGGAGAAGGAAUAUCUUCUCUCCCUUUACUACUAUAAAUAAAGGCACAAUGUAGGAGGGAUAACAACACACACAUUCCCCUACAAUUCUACAAACACACAUCUCUCUCUUCUCUCUCUCUGCCGCCGGCUCUAGUCCCUCUGUCAGAUAAAAUAGACCACAACAGUAUCAGUGUUUUUCAACGGAAAUGUCAAUUUCUAUAUGGCAUGACAUGGAAUGCAAUAAAUAGAGUUACUGUCAAAUUUAACAGCAGCUUCAAAUCUAUUUUCAGUAACUAAUAAAUAUUUCUUUAUAAUUUUUGUUAUUAUCUUUUGUUUUAAAAUUACUAAUUACAAUUAUAAAAAGUUAAUAAUGCAAUUAAUGAUAGUUUCAAUUUGACAUGGCGGAUAGAGAACCAAAUUUACAAAAAGAUCAAUGUCCCACAUAAGUCUUCAAAUUUAAAUUUUGUGUUUAAAAAUUGAAUGAGGAUCCUCUCUGGAUCCUCUUUGUAAGGAUCAAGAUAAUUUUUUAGUCGUGUUCGUUCAUCGUAAAUUACCACGAAGGCCGAUCUCAAAAAUCGAAGAGGCGCUCGCUUUCU
rnacentral:lncRNA from 1 species